ensembl:lncRNA
AUAGUGAACAGGUUGUGGGGUGGAACUCAUCUCUUAGGAACCUCAAGGAAUGCUGUUUUAGACGGCUGACAGCCCCAAGUGGCUUAGCUCUUGAAGUGGUGCUGGGUUAGUAAAGAACUCCAGGCCUCACAACUCAAAGAGGCCCAAUUAGAUGACAUUUAAAAACACAUGGCUCCCAACCAUAUUCUAAAACAGGGACAAGGGCAGGCAGAUUUUUUUUUAAAGUAGGUUUAUUUAUUUGCCAUGCCUCAUGGGAUGCAGGAUCUUAGUUUCCCGUCCAGGGAUCAAACCUGUGCCCUCUGCCGUGGAAGCGUGGAAUCUUAACCACUGGACCACCAGGGAAGUCCCAGCAGGUGCCCUAUUCUGAGAAGACAAUCUGAUUUUCCCUUAUGUUUUCAAGAUAAUGUGAACCAAGUACAACUUAUUAAGGCAUGGGAGCCAGGGGGCAGAAACCAGAGUUGGCACUUCCCCGACCCUGGUCAUGCUGCCCAGCGUGGCCAAAAACCAAACAGAAACAACAAAAACCCCUUAGAGUCAUGACUCAGUAAAAGCCAUUCCGGAGCGGUCUGGGACCCACUCUUACAGUGUUCCUGUGUUCCAGAACCAUCCAUCCACUGCAGCACCAGGCUUCCUCUACCUGGGAAGAACAUGGGUCACAGAUACAGAAGCUGAGACUUCCCCAAGUAAACUUCUACUGUGACAAAGCUCGACUGUGACAGAAUCGCAGAGGUGGGUAGAAGAGAAAGGUUUUCUUCUUUUCUAAGUCCUCAAGGACAGAAGAGACUAAGCAGAAGGAAUUCCCUGGCGGUCCUAACCAUUCCCAGUGGUUAGGCUUUCACUGCCCAGCGCAUGGGCUCAAUCCUGGUUUGGAAACUAAGAUCCCUCAAGCUGGGCAGCAUGACCAAAAUAUAUAAAUAUAUAUAAAACUUAGCAGAAAUCACUAUUGAUAAAUGUCCCAGCAUAUGCCAUCCAGGUGACUUUGCAGAUGUUAUUCUCCCUCUGUUAAAGGUUUCCUGCCUCUUCAGUUGUGAAAAAAAAGAAAAGAUAAUAUCAUCUACUUCACAGGGUUAUUGUGAAGAUUAAACAGGAUAAUGCAUAAGUAUAAGGAAUGUGCAAUCUGGUAUUCAGUGAUUACAUCUAUUCAUAUUCCAAGUUUUUUUUUUUUUAAAGGCUAGUAACAAUUAUAUGAGGUUUAAAAGUUUAUUUUAUAAACAUGUCAUAAUUAUAUAAAUGACAGAAGUGUCACAAAUACUAUGUACAAUAACAAGCUAUUACAGAAAAAUGAUACAAAGAUGUACAUAAGUACUUAUGAAGGUAAUCAUUAAGUCUUCCUAGUCUAUGAAAAUAAAAAGGAAAAACCAUUAUUUACGCUAUCGCAAAAGCCAUACCUUUUAGGUAAAAAGAAACUCUACUGAUAAUAGUAAUUUGAAAAAUUUAGCACAUCUACAACUAUUGUUUAAUUAAAACUUGAUUUUCAUUAACAUUUUAUCAUUUAAACACAGAUAAGCUUGGAUGGCAAAAAACAUCUACUCAGGUACAAAAUGAAAACUGCAUGAUGAUCUUCCUGCUCUCAGUUAAUGACUGCAGAACAGACCUGUUUAAGUGUUGUGGGGAAAAAACCUGUCCAGAGGACCACAGAGGCCGAGGAGGGAAUGCCUGGAUCCCAUUCACAAGCUCUGUGCAGGGAGCUAGGAGGCCCGGGCUCACAGGCCAGUCCAGGAAGUCUAACUAAACCAUGUUUUCACUUGAGUUCAUCCGUAAAAACAAGCUGAUGAUACCAACACUGCUCAUCAUACGCUGCUGCUGGGAAAAGCAUGCACUAGGUGCCCACUUCAUACCCACUCUGUACUAGGAACUGUGUUACGGGCUGAGAUGAGGACAAGGCACGUUUCAGCACAGGCUCAGUGUGGGCAGGUGCUGAGGCAAGGCACGUACAAGCACUGGGCACUGCCGGACAGAUCACUCCCAACGGCUCUGUGAAUGAGCAGUAUUCAGGCAGUCAAGUUAAAAAAAUUUUUUGAACAAGAAGUUUUCUUUUUGCCACGUUUUUGGAGUUCACGCAGUGAUUUGAGCCUGUGGCGUACAUCAGAAUGACCCAGGAUGCCCAGCAGACAUGCUCAUGCCAGGCCCCACCCAGAGCUUUCAGACCCAGAAUGCACCUGGCAGUUCUACAGUACACUCCCCAAGAAUCCUUAAAAGGUUGAUAAAACAACUUUCAAAGCAACUGUGAAUGCAAAUGUGGAUACUUCCUAU